rnacentral:tRNA from 3 species
UCCCGGUUAGCUCAGUUGGUAGAGCAGUGGACUGUUAAUCCGCCUGUCGCUGGUUCGAGUCCAGCACCGGGAGCCA